rnacentral:rRNA from 1 species
GAUCAUGGCUCAGGAUGAACGCUAGCUACAGGCUUAACACAUGCAAGUCGAGGGGAAACGAUAGAGAAAGCUUGCUUUUGGUGGGUGUCGACCGGCGCACGGGUGAGUAACGCGUAUCCAACCUGCCCACCACUUGGGGAUAACCUUGCGAAAGUAAGACUAAUACCCAAUGAUAUCUCUAGAAGACAUCUGAAAGAGAUUAAAGAUUUAUCGGUGAUGGAUGGGGAUGCGUCUGAUUAGCUUGUUGGCGGGGUAACGGCCCACCAAGGCGACGAUCAGUAGGGGUUCUGAGAGGAAGGUCCCCCACAUUGGAACUGAGACACGGUCCAAACUCCUACGGGAGGCAGCAGUGAGGAAUAUUGGUCAAUGGGCGAGAGCCUGAACCAGCCAAGUAGCGUGCAGGAUGACGGCCCUAUGGGUUGUAAACUGCUUUUAUAAGGGAAUAAAGUGAGAGUCGUGACUCUUUUUGCAUGUACCUUAUGAAUAAGGACCGGCUAAUUCCGUG